rnacentral:rRNA from 1 species
GACGAACGCUGGCGGCAUGCCUAAUACAUGCAAGUCGAGCGAACAGAUGAAGUGCUUGCACUUCUGACGUUAGCGGCGAACGGGUGAGUAACACGUAAGGAAUCUACCUAUAAGCGGGGGAUAACAUUCGGAAACGGGUGCUAAUACCGCAUAAUAUCUUCUUCCGCAUGGAAGAAGAUUGAAAGACGGCUCUGCUGUCACUUAUAGAUGACCUUGCGGUGCAUUAGUUAGUUGGUGGGGUAACGGCCUACCAAGACGAUGAUGCAUAGCCGACCUGAGAGGGUGAUCGGCCACAUUGGGACUGAGACACGGGCCCAAACUCCUACGGGAGGCAGCAGUAGGGAAUCUUCCGCAAUGGGCGAAAGCCUGACGGAGCAAUGCCGCGUGAGUGAAGAAGGCCUUCGGGUCGUAAAACGUUCUCGUUAUAAGUACGAAGGAACAAA